AGUGAACGCUGGCGGUAGACCUAACACAUGCAAGUCGAACGGCAGCACAGUAAGAGCUUGCUCUUACGGGUGGCGAGUGGCGGACGGGUGAGGAAUACAUCGGAAUCUACUUUUUCGUGGGGGAUAACGUAGGGAAACUUACGCUAAUACCGCAUACGACCUACGGGUGAAAGCAGGGGAUCUUCGGACCUUGCGCGAUUGAAUGAGCCGAUGUCGGAUUAGCUAGUUGGCGGGGUAAAGGCCCACCAAGGCGACGAUCCGUAGCUGGUCUGAGAGGAUGAUCAGCCACACUGGAACUGAGACACGGUCCAGACUCCUACGGGAGGCAGCGGUGGGGAAUAUUGGACAAAGGGCGCAAGCCUGAUCCAGCCAUACCGCGUGGGUGAAGAAGGCCUUCGGGUUGUAAAGCCCUUUUGUUGGGAAAGAAAAGCAGCAGGUUAAUACCCCGCUGUUCUGACGGUACCCAAAGAAUAAGCACCGGCUAACUUCGUG
rnacentral:rRNA from 1 species